CCGAACCCGAACCCGAACCCGAGACCGAACCCGAACCCCAAACAGCCGGACACAAACUAUGGUGGUUUCUCCGACGAUGAGCUCUUGGAUGGGCAUGGUGGUGGAGGAGGUGGAGGAAAUCCCGGAGGCCACCGGAAAGAAGGGAACGAUGAGGCACAAGGCGAUUCCCCGGGUGUGAUUUCUGGCAUCGUGGCGGCCGUGGUAGCCGCCUUGGCCGGGGCCGUGUCCAGUUUCAUCGCCUACCAGAAGAAGAAAUGGUGUUUCAAGGAGAAUGCAGAUCAAAGUGAAGUGACCGUGCAGACCCAAUACAGGACGAACGCGGAGCCGCCGGUUCAGCAAACACUGCUGCAGACAUAAAAAAAGCAUAAAAGCCGGGAUUCAAACCCAGAACCCAGAACCCAA